rnacentral:rRNA from 1 species
UACGUAGGGUCCGAGCGUUGUCCGGAAUUACUGGGCGUAAAGAGCUCGUAGGUGGUUUGUCGCGUUGUUCGUGAAAACUCACAGCUCAACUGUGGGCGUGCGGGCGAUACGGGCAGACUUGAGUACUGCAGGGGAGACUGGAAUUCCUGGUGUAGCGGUGGAAUGCGCAGAUAUCAGGAGGAACACCGGUGGCGAAGGCGGGUCUCUGGGCAGUAACUGACGCUGAGGAGCGAAAGCGGGGGGAGCGAACAGG